rnacentral:rRNA from 1 species
GAUCAUGGCUCAGAUUGAACGCUGGCGGCAGGCCUAACACAUGCAAGUCGAACGGUAACAGGAAGCAGCUUGCUGCUUCGCUGACGAGUGGCGGACGGGUGAGUAAUGUCUGGGAAACUGCCUGAUGGAGGGGGGAUAACUACUGAAACGGUAGCUAAUACCGCAUAACGUCGCAAGACCAAAGAGGGGGACCUCGGCCUCUUGCCAUCGAGUGUGCCCNCGAUGGGAUUAG